CGAGUGUUUGCACUGGGCGGAGUGUCCCUGGUGACCCUGAAUCCCGACCUCAGUUCAGCUCUGCUGCACUUAGCUGGCAGAACUCUUGUGCCAUGCGGGUCUCAGCCCUGAAAGAAGGAUGAUGAUGAUAAUGAUCAUGAUCAUGAUGACUCCCAAUACAGAGGAAGAAAGUUCAGAAAAAUUAAAUAACUUUGUGCAACAUCACUUAGCUGUUGAGUGGAGAGCUAAAACUACACUACAGGUUCAAUAUGGAUUUUCAGCACCCCUUUUUUUCACUGCCUCUUGGUCCCCUUUCUCAAGUCCCUUCCCAUACUAGGAACUCAAAAUCCUGUUAGAGAGGUGAGAUCUGCUUGCACAAAAGAUUUAAAUACCAAUGCAAAACAAUUUAUAAGCAAAUGGUACACUGAGCCAGAACUUAAUUUAUACUUUUCUGGGCCUCAAUUUCCUAUCUAACUGCAAUAGACUUUAUAAAA